GACGAACGCUGGCGGCGUGCUUAACACAUGCAAGUCGAACGAUGAAGCUGGAGCUUGCUCCGGUGGAUUAGUGGCGAACGGGUGAGUAACACGUGAGCAAUCUGCCCUUGACUCUGGGAUAACUGCGGGAAACUGUAGCUAAUACCGGAUACUUUCACUGGAAGGCAUCUUCUGGUGAAGAAAGAAUUUCGGUCAAGGAUGAGCUCGCGGCCUAUCAGCUUGUUGGUGAGGUAACGGCUCACCAAGGCGACGACGGGUAGCCGGGCUGAGAGGGUGACCGGCCACACGGGGACUGGAACACGGCCCAGAAUCCUACGGGAGGCAGCAGUGGGGAAUAUUGCACAAUGGGCGCAAGCAUGAUGCAGCAACGCCGCGUGAGGGAUGAAGGCCUUCGGGUUGUAAACCUCUUUUAGCAGGGAAGAAGCGAAAGUGACGGUACCUGCAGAAAAAGCACCGGCUAACUACGUGCCAGCCGCCGCCGUAA
rnacentral:rRNA from 1 species